UAGGGAAUCUUCGGCAAUGGGGGGAACCCUGACCGAGCAACGCCGCGUGAGUGAAGAAGGUUUUCGGAUCGUAAAGCUCUGUUGUUAAGGAAGAACGAGUGUGAGAAUGGAAAGUUCAUGCUGUGACGGUACUUAACCAGAAAGGGACGGCUAACUACGUGCCAGCAGCCACGGUAAUACGUAGGUCCCGAGCGUUGUCCGGAUUUAUUGGGCGUAAAGCGAGCGCAGGCGGUUAGAAAAGUCUGAAGUGAAAGGCAGUGGCUCAACCAUUGUAGGCUUUGGAAACUGUUUAACUUGAGUGCAGAAGGGGAGAGUGGAAUUCCAUGUGUAGCGGUGAAAUGCGUAGAUAUAUGGAGGAACACCGGUGGCGAAAGCGGCUCUCUGGUCUGUAACUGACGCUGAGGCUCGAAAGCGUGGGGAGCGAACAGG
rnacentral:rRNA from 1 species